GACGGAGGGUGCUAGCGUUGUUCGGAAUUACUGGGCGUAAAGGGCGCGUAGGCGGCCAGAUCAGUCGGGUGUGAAAGCCCGGGGCUCAACCCCGGAACGGCACCCGAGACGGUUUGGCUGGAGACCGGGAGAGGAGGGUGGAAUAGCCAGUGUAGAGGUGAAAUUCGUAGAUAUUGGCUGGAACACCGGUGGCGAAAGCGGCUCUCUGGCCCGGUUCUGACGCUGAGGCGCGAAAGCGUGGGGAGCAAACAGG
rnacentral:rRNA from 1 species